rnacentral:rRNA from 1 species
CAGUAGCCGCGGUAAUACGUAGGUCCCGAGCGUUGUCCGGAUUUAUUGGGCGUAAAGCGAGCGCAGGCGGUUAGAUAAGUCUGAAGUUAAAGGCUGUGGCUUAACCAUAGUACGCUUUGGAAACUGUUUAACUUGAGUGCAAGAGGGGAGAGUGGAAUUCCAUGUGUAGCGGUGAAAUGCGUAGAUAUAUGGAGGAACACCGGUGGCGAAAGCGGCUCUCUGGCUUGUAACUGGCGCUGAGGCUCGAAAGCGUGGGGAGCAAACAGGAUUAGAUACCCCGGUAGUCCCUGUCUCUUAUACA